rnacentral:lncRNA from 1 species
AUGCAUUGUGGGAUCGAGGGAGGACUGAGGCCUACAAUGGGGUGGGAGGUCCGGGCCUGGAAUAGGGCGGACGCCCCCGAAUUGUUCCGUCUAUUACGGGAAUGGGCUGAAAUUGAGGGGGGGGCGAGGCCUGUGAGUGAGGAGGCUCUGCUCAAUACACUCAAUGGAGCCGACCCCCCCCCCGUGGUCCUGGUGGCUGAGAGCAACGGGUCCCCCCCCCUGGGGGGCUUCGCUCUGGCCUCGUGGGGCUUCAGUACAUGGAGGGGCUGCGACCUGAGGCUGGGGGAGCUCUGGGUGCCCCCCCCAUUACGAGGUGGGUGACCCCCAACCUGCCCCAUAGAUACACCCCAUCUGCCCCAUAGAACCCCAUAGAUACCCCCCUC